CCGGCGGCGGAGGUCAGUUACAGAGGAAGUCGAGGUUGAUGAAGGGGACGCUACUUCUGCUUCUCCUAACAGGAAACGCAGCAACCAGGCCGAGGGAAAGAAGAUGAAGGAGGUCGAUGGUGCGGUGCCGAGGAGGACUUCGCCUAGGAAGAAGCAAUCAAGUUGAUAACCAUGUUCGUCGAUCACAUGCAUGUGCCCUUGGUGGUGCCACCAACUGUCGUCCUUAGGUUGUAUGCAACAUGUUUGUGAUAUUGACUGUGAUGAGGAACAAAAGAAAAGUUUGCCAUUGUGCAGUUCUGGCUUUUCAGUGUAGUUCUUUGUGGCAUAAAAAUAUGUGUUAACAUAAUAUUUAUGAUUUCGUCUAAAUAGUUUUAAUAAUUUUUAAUGAUUAUAAUUUGUUUUAUGUAAAAUAAUCAUAAUGAUCAUUUGAAAAGAUAAUUAAUCUAUUAACAUGAAGGGUGUGAAGCAAUAAAUAAAUAACUUGCUUACCUGCCUGUAGGCCCUGCGAAGGAACGAGGUCGAAAGGCAAUGCCCAACCCAUGAGCUUCGUAGUAGUUGGCGCAGCACGCAGGUGUGAUGUCUCCCUAUAAUCAAUCCUUGCCUGCACACAUCCUCCGCCAUCAGCCAAGCAAGAAGGCUUACGGUACCCAAAGGAACGAUCUUUCGUCCAUGACGACUCACCUUCUCCCCAUCACUCUGCUCUCCCUGCUCGCCGCGGCCUCGUCCCACCACCCGAUUGCAGCUUCGCCGCACGGCAGGGACGUCGUAGUGGCGGUCCGGGAGAUGCAGCGCGCCAGCUACUUCUCCUUCGCCAUGCUCAUCCAGAUGG
rnacentral:lncRNA from 1 species